rnacentral:rRNA from 1 species
GAAAGACGGACUUAGUGAUCCGGUGGUUCCGCAUGGAAGGGCCAUCGCUCAACGGAUAAAAGCUACCCCGGGGAUAACAGGCUUAUCUCCCCCAAGAGUUCACAUCGACGGGGAGGUUUGGCACCUCGAUGUCGGCUCAUCGCAUCCUGGGGCUGUAGUCGGUCCCAAGGGUUGGGCUGUUCGCCCAUUAAAGCGGUACGCGAGCUGGGUUCAGAACGUCGUGAGACAGUUCGGUCCCUAUCCGUCGUGGGCGUAGGAAAUUUGAGAGGAGCUGUCCUUAGUACGAGAGGACCGGGAUGGACAUACCUCUGGUGUACCAGUUGUCGUGCCAACGGCAUAGCUGGGUAGCUAUGUGUGGACGGGAUAAGUGCUGAAAGCAUCUAAGCAUGAAGCCCCCCUCAAGAUGAGAUUUCCCAACUUCGGUUAUAAGAUCCCUCAAAGAUGAUGAGGUUAAUAGGUUCGAGGUGGAAGCAUGGUGACAUGUGGAGCUGACGAAUACUAAUCGAUCGAAGACUUAAUCAA